UAGCCAUAAUCCAUUUACACUUUANNNGCCAGGGNAACUACGGGCUAAGCCUGAAACCCAAAGGACUUGACGGUGUCCCACCCAACUAGAGGAGCCUGUUCUACAAUCGAUGACCCCCGUUAAACCCAACCUUUUUUCGCUCUUCAGCCUGUAUACCUCCGUCGCAAAUUCACCGUGUGAAUGACAAACAGUGCAAUUUAAUGUUUACCUCAUCAGAACGUCNGGUCAAGGUGCAGCCUAUAAAAAGGAAAGUAAUGGGCUACAAUUUCUAACAUAGAACAAACGGAAUACUUUGUGAAACCCAUCUAUGAAGGAGGAUUUAGCAGUAAAGAGAAACUAGCGUGUUCUCUUAAACACGGCCCUGGGACGCGU
rnacentral:rRNA from 1 species